AAAUGAAUAGACGGGGGCCCGCACAAGCAGCGGAGCAUGUGGUUUAAUUCGAAGCAACGCGAAGAACCUUACCUAGACUUGACAUCUCCUGAAUUACUCUUAAUCGAGGAAGUCCCUUCGGGGACAGGAAGACAGGUGGUGCAUGGUUGUCGUCAGCUCGUGUCGUGAGAUGUUGGGUUAAGUCCCGCAACGAGCGCAACCCUUAUUGUUAGUUGCUACCAUUAAGUUGAGCACUCUAGCAAGACUGCCGUGGUUAACGCGGAGGAAGGUGGGGAUGACGUCAAAUCAUCAUGCCCCUUAUGUCUAGGGCUACACACGUGCUACAAUGGUGAGUACAAAGAGACGCAAAACCGUGAGGUGGAGCAAAACUCAAAAACUCAUCCCAGUUCGGAUUGUAGGCUGCAACUCGCCUACAUGAAGUUGGAGUUGCUAGUAAUCGCGAAUCAGAAUGUCGCGGUGAAUACGUUCCCGGGCCUUGUACACACCGCCCGU
rnacentral:rRNA from 1 species